rnacentral:sRNA from 1 species
ACAGAAAACAAAAAAAUAUAAUAUAAAAAAUGGGUGAAAGGGUUGCCAUCGCGUGGGCGAUAUUUUUCUAAGUGCGGGAAUCGAUAGUAGCUUUAAAGUAUGGCAACUCCCCCACCCUAUUUAUUCUAGUGCAUUUAGUUGAAUUGAACGUGUUGAAUUGCAUUUUAACAAAAGAAAUCUACUAAUAAUACUAAUUAUAAUUAGUGGGUAGAAUUACUAGAAUAAAGAAGAAAUUGUCGCAUUGUUUUUAUCGCAUUGUUUUGAUGUUUAUAAUCAACAAGGAGUGAUUUUUCCACCUACGACGACUUCAUUAGGGCCAUCCGGGAUGGAAUAAGGAGAGCCAAAAAUAAAAAUUAUAAGGAAAAAUCCAAAAAAAACAAAGAAAAUU